UAUGGAGUCCUUGUAUUUAAUGCAACAAUCACUGGUGAACCUGGAACAUAGGAAAUGGAACUUUCUACUAUUGUAGUUAUAGAUCAGCAUGUAUCUUUGCUCAAAGAGUAAUCAGUGGUUAUAUUGACAAUAUAAUAGAAUUUGUUUCCUCAGGUAUGUCAACCACACCCAACUUCACAGCAGAGGUUGUGACAUUUAGGAGAGGCCAGAAAAUAAUCAUCAGAUCCAACCACCAGAUACAGAGCAGGAGGAGCUGUGAUAUUGAAGAUGACCAGUGUAAGAUUCCUCGUUCCUGUGCUGCAGUAAACUGCAGGAAAUGGAACUGAAAAGGAGUUUGGAGGCGGACAGAGGGAACACUGGAACUCCACACAUUCAUUCCUUCUCUUUUUCUAGACUCGUUUCUAAACAGGAAGCUUUUUGUUACUUAAUAUUACUUAUUAAAGCAGAUGUAAUAGCGUAGAACUGUUAGAGAUGAUGAGGAGACCUGCUUUGAGGUUUCCAGUUAAUCAAUGCAGACAGACCAGUUGGAGAACAGAAACAGAAAUGUAGACGCUGCUGAAAAAGGAAUGGACUGAAGAAUUCCCUUAGAGAUAAAGAUAAAGAAAUAUUAAAGCAAAUAAAGGUUUAAAAUACUUUGAUUUAUGAG
rnacentral:lncRNA from 1 species